AUUGAACGCUGGCGGCAUGCCUAACACAUGCAAGUCGAACGGGGGCAGCUAUGCCCUAGUGGCGGACGGGUGAGGAAUACGUAGGAACCGGCCCACGAGUGGGGGACAACCUGGGGAAACCCAGGCUAAUACCGCAUACGCUCGCGAGAGGAAAGCGGGGGACCUUCGGGCCUCGCGCUGGUGGACGGGCCUACGUCCGAUUAGCUUGUUGGUGGGGUAAAAAGCCUACCAAGGCGACGAUCGGUAGCUGGUCUGAGAGGAUGAUCAGCCACACUGGGACUGAGACACGGCCCAGACUCCUACGGGAGGCAGCAGUGGGGAAUAUUGGACAAUGGGCGCAAGCCUGAUCCAGCAA
rnacentral:rRNA from 1 species